UUGGGGGAGGCUGAAAGUUGAGUCACGGAGUAUUUCGCCGGCCCCGCUUUACACCCUGCACUCAGUUUUUACCACUCUUCUGCCUACCUGUAUCAUAAACGCUCCAAACAUGUAGAGUGAAAAGCAAUUGACCGCCUUCACAUCAUCAUCUAAAGCCCACUGCAGUGAGAACUUAACAUUUGUUACGGUCCUGAAAAUAUAAACCAUGGGAAAUUGUUAACCCUGUCAGGGCCGGAUCCAAAGCCUGUUGAGUCAACCGGACACUUCAAAGGUCUUUGGAACAGGCCCUAUUAUAAGACAAAGUAGAACAGUGCCAGCAGGGCAGAUCGAGCAAUCCCCACACCUCGCAGCAGCCCUUCGUCUGAUCCUUC
rnacentral:lncRNA from 1 species